CUUACUGGAUCACGGCUUGCAGCGGCUUUAUGAUCAUUGGCUAGGCACCGAAAACAUCUCUUAGCAAGAUUAUUCGUUAAGAGCUCCUUAGACCUCUAGUAGUAGAUGGGUUUCUUAGAUGGCAAGAUGGCGGAAGAGUGAAAUGCCUUCGACCUUCUCAACAGGGCCUCCUUAUAAGUCAUCUGACUGGAGAACGAGUUAACCACCCUACCAACAUCAUUGAACCUUUCUUUUCCCAAGGCUAAGCUGUGAAGCAAGCCUGUCUUUCCUUCUCGGUGCUCGUCAAUAUCUUCGAUCCUACGAUCAUUAGAUGCUUUUUGUCGUAAGCAUGCAAGGUCACCUCCACUUCGCCCUAGCACCCUUGAUCCUUCGAUGCGGCUUCGCCUAUCUCGUCUGUCACGUCCGAACACGUCCGAACAGUUCGAGAGUGUACCUCUUAAAUGGCCAUUAAUGCUCCCUUCCUAGUGCUCUUGAUCCUCUCCCUAACCAAGUAGAAGUCCCUUCUCUCCUUUAAUACUUCUACCCACCUUCACUAAUACUUUACCAACCUCAUCCGCCCAUGCCAGUCGCUUUUGGGCUUUCUUUCCCUUCUCCUUGUAGCGAUCUCUGCUUAGAUCCUUCCUCGCACAUGAUUUUUGUAGCUUCACAACACUAAGAUCUCUCUUCCUUCUCACAGCACUGAGUUCUCUCCUCCCUCUCACGAAGCGACAAACUUUAUAAAUAUAAUUUCCAGCUGCAAAUGACCAAACAAAUAAUUUGCCAAUGUGUUCUUAUGCAUCCAACCAAAUAAGAAACAUAAAAAUGUAACGUUAUAUUUUCAACCGCAUGAAUAUAUCUCUGACUAUAAUGUAUUCAGCUAAUCUAACCACCGCAAAACACAUUCUCUGUUAUAAAACAUGAAAAAGAACACAGAUGCAACAGCGUAGAUUAUUCGCACUACUUGGGACUAAAAAAGAUAUUAAUUCUGGCAUUGAUGGAACAAUAAUUUAAGUAAAUUGUUUGUCCUUAAGUAAAGGACAUCAAGCAUGUAAAUGCCAAAAUUUUAGAGACUCGAUUUUGCCACGAAACAACUUUUCACUAAAAUGCAAAUUGAUGAUCCUCAAACUUUGUUUCAAGUUCUUUACCUUUUCCUUUUCUUUUUCUUUAUUCGGGGCCGCGAAUGAUGCAUAAUUAUCCAAGGUCUUCAUUAAAUGGACUUAGUUAUCCACCUAAAGUGAUGCGCAUUUCUGCCUCAAUCAUAUCAUAGCCUUCUUUUAUGCAGCAAUGCACAAAAACAUUGAUUCUGUGGUCAGUGAAACUCUCUUUAUUAUUAUUAUUAUUUUAACUUGACAAUGGCUCAUAAAGAUUUUUAUCCGUUUUAAUGGAAACUUACAAUAGAAAAAACAACAUCAUAAUUCAUAAACUUCAGAGUGGUAAGAAAUGGAAGCAAACUCUAUUAAACUGCAACAUCAUAACAGUUAAAAGAACCAAGGCCAAACUGCAACUAGAACAAAAUGACUGGAACUACUAAUGCAAUAACAUUUUUCAAUUAUUUGAUCAAAAUGAAAAGGCUAGAGAUCAAGGUCAAAAAAUGAAACUGUUUUCCAUCAUUUAACAAUGCAAUUCUUCAAGAUAACCCCAAGAAAAAAGGAUAACAGGGCAAGUCAAUUUUCAUCAUUUUUAUAUCUUUAGAGUAGAAAUGCAAACAGAAUCAAAGACAACAACAUUCUCAAAACAUUACUCAAUAGAUUAGCCAUAUCAAUAAGAAUUUUUUAAAAUACUUCAUUGUGUUUCACUAAGUAAAAUAAGAUGUAUCUUAUUCAGCAUCUAAAAAAUAUGACAAUAUACAUGAUCUGUAGCUUGAAAGGCAAUUCAAUAACAGUAAAGAUAUUCAGAUGAUAACAAAUUCAAGUAAAUGCUUUCCGGACAUUUAACGUUGUAACAAUUAACACCUACUAUUCAAUCAUCACAUGAUUCACACUAGAUGGUCCAAUCCUAUAAUGUGAUCGCUAACCAAGUUAUUUGAACUACAUUGAAAUAAUAUGAUAGUUUUCUCAUCGUUCCGGAGUAGUUAAUUGAUCAAUUUUUUAAUUCAAAGCUAGCUCAUCCCAUUAUUUUCAAUGGUGCCUAAGUUGGAUCAAAUGGGGCAGAAUAAUAUUGUAGUUCUCACUGACAAAAUUUUUCAGUAUAGAAUGAUUGACUAGUAAAUAAAAUUAACUAGAAAUAUGAAGCAAUUAGGCUUCAAACUUGGGACCUUGGGUACCAACCAUCAAGCCCUCUACCCCACUAGCGCUAGGCAAAUAUUGAGACAUCUAAUUAUUUGAGAUAUUAACCAAGGAUUUAAAUGCCGUGGCGGCUCAUGCCGGAAAUUUGCCGGCACGGUACGGCACAAUGCGUGUCGGGCGGUGCCAAUGCGUGUCGAUUACAAAAAAUAUGUGUCCCGACACGUAAUGACAUGAAAUAUUUAUUUUCUUUAGUAGCAAAAUAUGUCAAUUAUUUAUUAAGUAUUUUUAUCAAAUUUUUUGAAUUUCUUUGAGAAAAUUAUUUACUAAUUUCAAGAAUAGAGAGUUUUGAGUUGUGCCAUUGGCACGGGGACUAUAUCGUGCAGAUAUUUUGCUAGCACGAUACUGUACGGUGAAUACGAUCCGUACCGAUGGGCACUUUAAUUCUUGAUAUUAAAAUUAGCUUCUUUACUACUAUGACAUUGGUAAUCAUCAUGCUGAAACUCAGCUGAUUGACAAGUAAAAAUAUUGAUUGUUAUAUCCUUUUUCUAUAUCAUACAACUAAAUGAUUAUGAACAGCGCCGACUAUAGCAAAUACCAUGUAAAUAAAACAAUAAGAAAACUAUAUAUAAAAUAAAUACUCGAAAUAUAUCACAUUUACGCAUUGCUAUAUAUAGAUCUGGCAGCAGUGGCAUAAGAUACAGCUUUCCUUCUCUAUACCAAAAAAGAGUCAGCCAACUUGAUGAGGGUUUAUUAAAGGAACAGAAACAUGUUGCUUGGCUUACAAAAUUUACAGUAAGAAUCACAAUCACCAAAGCAAAUCUACAGGGAAAUGCCGGUCUCGGAGGAAAAUCUAUUGCCAGAUUCCUCAAAUAGAAAUGACACGCAAAGAUUUCCUCGGGCGGAAUGAAAAUUGGCCAUUGCUUGCAACUUAAUUUAAGGACUGAUUUUCCUAACGGCAAGCACAAUGUAUGUGAAUAAUAGGUAUCGGUCACAUUCGUUUGGCUAUAAUCACAAUAAAGUGGCCAUAAUCCACAGAAUUAGAGAUCAAAAUUUCCCCAAUCUUUCGCUACAAAUUUACAAUUGGGUUCUCAACCAUUAUGCACUGCUCAAAACUAUUCCUCUCAUUGACAUGUUAAAUUGGAUGGAAAUGCCUACAUAAUCAGUAGGGUGAAUCUAAAAAUUUGAUCUACAAAUUUAACCGAAAAAAAAAAAGAUCUGUAUUGAAUCCUGGAGUCCAAGGGAUUCGAUCAUAAAAUUACAAUUUCGGAGAGCAAAUACAAACUAAGCUAAAAGGUGGCUUCGAUUUUGCCCAAGAAUAGUUUGUUUGUAAUUCAAUCGAUCAAACAGGUAUACAGAAUUCCUGUGUUGAUGGCAAUGUUUGGUUUCUCCUCUCCUCGUAUAAACAACAAAGUUGAAGCGGAAAGAACGGAUCACGGUAGUGUACACAAAAACAUACAUAAAUUCUGUCCAAUUCAAAUAAGAAUCAAGAAAUGAAGAGCCAACCGAGGCGGUAAAGGGCGAGGUUGGACAGGGUGAGGACGGACCCGGCGGUGGUAAUCCACCACGAGAGGAACAAAGCGGCAUCCUUUACGGGAUCGGAGUAGCAGCGAAGGGUAUGGGAGAAGGGGAGAGGGACGAAGAGGUUACCUGUGAGCUGGGAGAGGCCGAGGAGGAGGAGGGAGAGGAGGGGCGGGGCGAGGAGGUGGGCGGCGACGGCGCAGACGCGGCGGUCGUGGAGGAAGACCUUGGCGCGGGCGUAGGCGAGGUCGGGGGGGGCGCGGGGGGCGUGGCCGUAGAGGCGCUGGUACCAGGAAGGACUGGAGGGUAAGACCUUCGUUUUGGGGAGCGGCCGGAAGGGGAGAGGAGGAAGGAAAGGGAUCGGGGCUGGGGUCGGUGGUAGGCGGCAGGGGUGAGGAGUUGGGGCAAAACGCCAAAACCUUCGUCUUCGUUUUGGGGAGGCGAGGGGGCGAUUCGAAUUUCCAGAAGUUUUUUUUUUUUUUUUUUUUU
rnacentral:lncRNA from 1 species